AGGCCUAACACAUGCAAGUCGAGCGGAUGAGAAGAGCUUGCUCUUCGAUUCAGCGGCGGACGGGUGAGUAAUGCCUAGGAAUCUGCCUGGUAGUGGGGGACAACGUUUCGAAAGGAACGCUAAUACCGCAUACGUCCUACGGGAGAAAGCAGGGGACCUUCGGGCCUUGCGCUAUCAGAUGAGCCUAGGUCGGAUUAGCUAGUUGGUGAGGUAAUGGCUCACCAAGGCGACGAUCCGUAACUGGUCUGAGAGGAUGAUCAGUCACACUGGAACUGAGACACGGUCCAGACUCCUACGGGAGGCAGCAGUGGGGAAUAUUGGACAAUGGGCGAAAGCCUGAUCCAGCCAUGCCGCGUGUGUGAAGAAGGUCUUCGGAUUGUAAAGCACUUUAAGUUGGGAGGAAGGGCAUUAACCUAAUACGUUAGUGUUUUGACGUUACCGACAGAAUAAGCACCGGCUAACUCUGUGCCAGCAGCCGCGGUAAUACAGAGGGUGCAAGCGUUAAUCGGAAUUACUGGGCGUAAAGCGCGCGUAGGUGGUUUGUUAAGUUGGAUGUGAAAGCCCCGGGCUCAACCUGGGAACUGCAUCCAAAACUGGCAAGCUAGAGUACGGUAGAGGGUGGUGGAAUUUCCUGUGUAGCGGUGAAAUGCGUAGAUAUAGGAAGGAACACCAGUGGCGAAGGCGACCACCUGGACUGAUACUGACACUGAGGUGCGAAAGCGUGGGGAGCAAACAGGAUUAGAUACCCUGGUAGUCCACGCCGUAAACGAUGUCAACUAGCCGUUGGAAUCCUUGAGAUUUUAGUGGCGCAGCUAACGCAUUAAGUUGACCGCCUGGGGAGUACGGCCGCAAGGUUAAAACUCAAAUGAAUUGACGGGGCCCGCACAAGCGGUGGAGCAUGUGGUUUAUUCGAAGCACGCGAAGAAC
rnacentral:rRNA from 1 species